CAGUUGAUGGAUGGGACGAUCUGGCAUUUAAACCACGCACACGCGCACACAAACUUGUGUACAUUCACGCUAAUAUGACUGCUCAUCUACCACCCCCUCCUCAAUCUUGCGCUCACUUGCGUGCAUGUUCGCCAUGUCUGUUUUCGUGACGAGCGUACCCCUCAUGACGCCCACCACCUCGCCGGUGGUAUCUCACGGCCCAGCACCCACUGUGUGGGAAAGCCAAAGACCCUGCAGCCUGCCCUCGGGUACCGCUGGCGGGCUCCUCGGUAUCGGCGGACAGGUAUGGGCUAUCGCUGUGCCGAGGAGGCUUGCCGUCGUGAUGAUCACCUUUGCAGCAGCGCACUACGAAUCGUGCCGACGAUCCGACACAUGUCGGAGGACGAGAUCCAUACCUAUCACCCGCCCCCACACACACAGGCGCACCGAAAAAAAAAAGAACGUGCAUGCUCGGGAAACAUGCGGCAUCUCCUGCAUGCGACCGUGUGGGCCGAUGCGGCGCAGAUGCGGGAAGCGCGAUGAGAGCACCCUCGAGUUGCACCACCGAGUCCUCCAGACUCCCAUGUAAAGUGGCACCACACUGUAUGACGGCAUGCCGCGGCUUGAAGCGGCCGAGGGCGAAACACGGCGCACAGGCAGGGCAGAGGGUCGCAGAGGGCCCUGACCUGCGGCUGGCCCACUUCCUCUCUGAGCUCCUCCUCCAUUCACUUAUAUCCGCCCCCUAGUGCCCGCACGACAGACGCCACUGCCUCCGCCCUCGAGCAGAGCCCUGGACGCGGCCCGGGUGGAUCAAGGCAUGCAGUCCCGCCAGGUCCGCCUGGCGCCGAUCGCGCAACACGCACCCGGGGAAGGGACGAGGAAGAAGAGGAAGAGCCGGUUAGACGCGCGGCCCGAUCCGACGGCAGGCCGCUCGUCCUGGACGACCAGGCCUUAGCCGUGGCGCAACAGUCGCAGGCGAGCUGUGGCUGUGUGCGUGUAGGCUUGCUGACUUGUCCGUGGAAGUGGAAUGGACAUGUGGAGGGAAAAGUAUAUACCAAAAAGGAGAAAUGGGGAGAGGACGGAAAAGGUGAAGCGACGCCCUCCCGAGCGCCGAGGAGACUGAAAGGACGAAGGAUCACAUGUCUUUGUGGCGGUGGAGAGCGGUGGCUUCGACACUAUUCAGCGUGAAUUCGUCAGCGUUUCUCUGUAUCUUUCCCUCCGGUUGCUGUUAGCGGGCUUUGGCUCACUUCACCGUUCGAAUAGCUCGUGCGAGGUGGCGAAGUUCGUGCAUGCGGCGCUUGUCUCUUUCUUUUUCCCUGGCAGCCAUUCUCUUUGCAUUUCUGUUCACUAUCCGUUGUUUUUGCGCUUUCAUUUCUGUGAUGUUUCUUGUGCGAUCAUUUUUUUUUGGUUUGUUUUGGCGUGGUGACGUGUACGUUGGCGUGCUGUAUGGUGCUGCCUUCUCGAAUACACUGGCACGCGAGUCUUCUCGUGUGUUGAUUUGCCUUUUUAGGGCUUUUUCGUAUUCGAUGGCCUCCAAAUUUUUUUUUGCUUCCAGAUCUCUCCGAGGAUAUUAUUGUUUCGUUUGCGUUUCUGUUACCCGCUUCCCCUCCUUGCCACCACCACCUCCUGCUCCGCAGCACCUCUGUCCGAUGGUUGCAUCCCAAUUGCAGCGUGCAUCUCACCUAUUUGUGAUUGUUGCAUACGCAGAUGUCCUUCCUUUCUUUGUUUUGUUUUCGUACUCUCCGUACAUCCGUGGCUUUCAGGGUUUGUCUCGUGAUUUUAUGACAUGUGGCGUCGUCUGUUUAUGUUUGGUAUUAAUGUAUACAUACAUACGCGUGUAUGCAUAUAUAUAUAUGUAUAUAUCUGUAAAUAUUGUUGUUUUCGUAUCUGCGUUUUGCCGUCUCUUAUCACUUAUGACUUAUUUAUGAUACUCCACACACACACACGCACGCCUUAUUUUUUUAUGUUUCGACUUCACUGAGAAGUUCCCAAGCCAGUUGCUUCGUCUUGGUGAAGCUCAUGCCGCCUCUUGUGUAUAUACGGCUGGAUGAUUCCUCCCCCUCCCCGACCCCCCCCCCCCCUGCGGCCCGGCAACUCCCCUUUCGUUACGGCUAUCAGAACCCCCUUUCCUCACGGUGGGUGCCGCAGUUGCAGGCGGCUGGCAGGACCCGCUCGUUGCUUGCGGGAUCGCUCGUGGAACUUCGUCAUCUCUUUAGACACCCCUUCUUUUUUUUUAUGUGCGGUGAUGGUGGUGCAUUUGCACUCCGUGGUGCCAAUGGAUUUUUACCCUUCUUGCUCAGAGUGUCUGCACCACGGCACGCGGCGAGCGGCACCGCAAAUAGCGAAGAUGGAGAGAGACGAUGAUGAUAAGAAACGGGGUAGCAACCUAGUAAAGUGCGCUGACCCGUGUAGGUGUUUCUUUCUACGAUGAAGUGUGGGCUUGCCCUUUUUUUUGUGUCGGUCUCUCCUAUUUGCUGCGCUAGUGCGUUUUCUUCGUUUUAUGGGGGAGGGGGACUCUUUCUGCGUGCUCGCAAGUUGCACGCAUCGCAACGUUUCGUUGGUGGAAAUUUCUCGAGUGUUCUUCAGGUGCGCUCGAACAUGCUGUAGCUGCCCCGCUUCCCCUUCUACCGUUUUAACAUGAUUUUCCUCCGGUCCGCCGCUUUUGUUUCGGAUGAGCCAAUCUCUUGCAGUCAAUUCGCUUCGUUUGAUCCUUCUGCCAUCCCAUGCAGGGCUCUCCCCCUCCCCCGAUGCUUUUUCAUUUUACCCUUUUUCUUCCCCCCUUUUCUCCGGUCCAUUUCUGCGAGACGGCGGCCCUUCACACCUUCCUCCUCCUCGCACACUGUCGUGGCGCGGUGCGUACCCCCCUCCCCUUCACCGGCUUAGUCGCACGAGCAUCCUUCUCACUCUUUCUCCUUUGACUUUAUGUUUGUUUCGUCGUCUGUGCUCUCCCCAUGGCGUCAACGCAGACGCACAUACAUGUGUUGGACUCCCUCUCUCUCUCUAUUGAUCUCUGCGAGCAUGUGUGCAUGUGUGUGAGCGCCCCCCUUUUCUCUUCUUACGGUUUGUUUGUCUCUUCGCCGCACCACCAUCUCUCCUUCGUUUCGUUGUGCGUCCCACCCUUCCAUCACCGUUUCGCUCCUCCUUCUCCGCGCGGCAGAGGGGGAGCGGGAUUCGGAAGGCGCCAUCUUUUAGGGUUGCGAUGAGCCGUUUUACUUCAUUUGCGAUAUAUAUGAAUAUAUAUUAUUCUUUUCGUUCUCGUCUUUUAACGGGUCACGUAUGCGCGCACUGCUCUGCUUCUGUUCUCUCUUCGCCACAGCUGUCAGCGCGAAGUGCAGUGAACGGAAGCGAGGAACCGGCUGCGAGAGGCUUUCUUCGUUCGCGGCGAACACUCGAACUGCGCCUCUGUCCAAGGGAAGUGGGAGGAGGGUCCGCUGAGCAGAUGAGAUCGUGAAGCUGUGUCGCGUCGCGUUUUUACGGCGGUGCGCUGGGACGCAAAAGAGGGCGAACAGCGCCAAGUGUAGUGACUUACGUUUCUGUCUCUCUGUGUGUUGGUCUGAUCUGUAACGUCUGUUGCGCCGCACAUGCCGGAACGGCUUGCUUCACUGCAUCGCUCAUGUCUCUCUAUUGCAUUUUUCUGUUUCUAAACAGGUUCGGACUGUUUCAUGUGUGCGUGCGUGUGCGCUCAGUUCAUCCAUGUGACACAGCAC
rnacentral:misc_RNA from 1 species